GGAUUGUGGCUCAGUGGUAGAGCCUCACCUAGCAAGGGAGGGACCCAGGUUCGAGACUCAGCACCA
rnacentral:tRNA from 1 species